CCAUAUUUACACAUGUCUCCUUUAAUGUUUUAAGACUAACACACGCCUCCCUAAAUUAACAAUUCAUUACACAACUACCUCCGUCCAAAAUUAGCCUACUUUUUUGUUAGUAUACCUCAUAAAUUAAGGUCAAAGGAAAGAGAAAAAAAAGACAAUUCUACCCUUAUAGAAUUAGCUAAUUGAGCCGAUUCAAAUCGAAACCAUAAAAAAUUACUGAACCGAACCAGAACCCUUCUAGAAUUAGCUAAUUCAACCAAAACCACAAAAAAGACUUUCCUUUUCUCCUCAGUAACGGGAUCUGCGGUCGCAAGCUUUGGUCUAGCGUCUCCUUUGUCGCCUCUCAGUUUCUAGCAAGCAACAAAUUAAGCUUGGUCGGAGAGUCAUGUUAUCAGCAAAAAUGAUCUCUUCUCCAUCCUGUCGGCUCGACUCUUGGACCUAUGGCCUGCUUUUCGUUCGACAAGAGAGGAGGGUGUGGUGGAAGAGUCUAAUCGGUCGGUCCUUGAUCUAGCCGAAAAAUCAAAAUAAAAUGUUGAAGGAGGUUGAGGUGGAGUCGCUCCAUUCAGAAAAGCGAAGGCAGCUCACACUCUAUCACUGCGCCAGUCAGAAAAGAAAUGGAGAGAGAGAGAAAGAGCGAAUGGCUGUGAGACAAGGGCAAUAGGGAGGAGGUCACUACUUGCGGACACAAGCCGGUGAUUGGGAAAGUUGAAAAAAAAAAAUAAUGAAUUAGCAGUAAUGGCAUCUUUGCCGUGGGAAAGGGAAAGAAAAUCAACCCAUGCUUAAAUUCAUUUAUUUCCAUUUAUUUUUUCAUAAUUCCAUUUUUGAAGGCCUUGAUCUCACAUUGAUAGCUCCAUGCUUAAUUUAUGCUUCAAAUAUGUGAAGAUGAGAGAGUUUAGAAAGUGCAGAUAUGUGGGCAUGAAAGAGGGAUGGCGUUUCCAUUUUUUGUGGAGGAUUCAAGCAGAGAGAUGGAGGAAUAAAAGUAAUUAAUUGUGAAGAAAAUUUUGCAUAUUAUAAAUGUUAGUAUGGUCAAUUUAUUUGCCAUUUGAUGGAAAUUUGAGUAAUUUUGGAUGGAAGAAUGCAUUUAUGUAAUGGAAGUAAAAAUUAGGGAUGCUAAAGUCAGUUCCAAAACGUUGAAGGAGGAAUAUGUAAAUAUGGCUGUAAUUGAAGGGUAAUGGGGAAGGGAACAAUAGAGUUGACAAAAAUACCUCUUACUAAGUCUAUAGAUUGACAAAAAUAGUUUUAAGGCUUUUAAUUUUCA
rnacentral:lncRNA from 1 species